rnacentral:tRNA from 1 species
UCCCAUGGUCUAGUGGUUAGGAUUCCUGGCUUUCACUCAGGCGGCCCGGGUUCGAUUCCCGGCGUGGGAA